UAAUUGUUAAAAAGUCAUAUAUUUUGUUUCUUUUUCUAAUUUUAAGUAAAUCAAGGCAGAGCGGAAUACAUCAACUAAGGGUUUAGGUUUGGGCAGGCAUUCUUUUAAAGUAAAGAAAUGAGUUUUAAUAAUUAUUUAAAUAGGGUUUAAAAUUAUUUUAAUUUAUGUUUAAAAAAUUAAAUUACACUAGAUUUAAAGGUGAAAGAGUCAAAAUGUCUCUCGUUAAAAAUGAUUAUUAGUUAGUUUCAUUACUGGAACUUCUACUGACAACUUCAUUACUGACAGCUUCUAAUCAUUCACUAAAAGCCAAGACAAAAGAUUUUGCUAUAAAUAAAGUUUGUUUAUAUCUCAGUAUAAUUUUUUAUCUUAGGUGUUGCUAAUAGGUUUCCUCAUUAAACAGAUUGUAAAGUUGUAUAGAUCAAUCAAUUAAAGUUGUAUAGAUCAAUCAAUCUUUAUAGCCACUGCAAAAAUGAUAUCAUAAUAAAGAACUGAGUAUAUACGCAACUUAAUAUUAACAAUAUUGAAUGCUGCUUUUAAAACAGCAUACGUAGUAUCACAAUUGGUUAUAAAAAACAAUUAAAUUGAUUUCCAUUUAAUACAUGUGGUGUAUUUUUUCCGUAUUUUUUAAUUCUAAUAUAUUUUUUUUAGAUUAAUUAGAUGACGUGUUUGUCCAAUAUAGACCUGCAGCUGAAAACUAUUAAAAAAUAGUUAUGUUUUGUUAAUUUGUUAAUAAAUAUGUAAAUGAAAAUAUCUUUCAUUUCACAAAUCUAUUAGGCAUUUUUUUGAAGCCACAAUCCACAAUGUUUUGUAUUUUAUAUAUGUGAAUGAAAGUCUAUGUGAAUGUUUUGUAUUUUAUCUAUGUGAACGAAAGUCUAUGUGAAUGAUUUGUAUUUUAUCUAUGUGAACGAAAGUCUAAGUGAAUGAUUUGUAUUUUAUCUAUGUGAAUGAAAGUCUAUGUGAA